rnacentral:rRNA from 1 species
GACGAACGCUGGCGGCGUGCCUAAUACAUGCAAGUUGAGCGCUGAAGGCUGGUACUUGUACCAACUGGAUGAGCAGCGAACGGGUGAGUAACGCGUGGGGAAUCUGCCUUUGAGCGGGGGACAACAUUUGGAAACGAAUGCUAAUACCGCAUAAAAACUUUAAACACAAGUUUUAAGUUUGAAAGAUGCAAUUGCAUCACUCAAAGAUGAUCCCGCGUUGUAUUAGCUAGUUGGCGAGGUAAAGGCUCACCAAGGCGAUGAUACAUAGCCGACCUGAGAGGGUGAUCGGCCACAUUGGGACUGAGACACGGCCCAAACGCCUACGGGAGGCAGCAGUAGGGAAUCUUCGGCAAUGGACGAAAGUCUGACCGAGCAACGCCGCGUGAGUGAAGAAGGUUGUCGGAUCGUAAAACUCUGUUGGUAGAGAAGAACGUUGGUGAGAGUGGAAAGCUCAUCAAGUGACGGUAACUACCCAGAAAGGGACGGCUAACUACGUG